GAGAAAGACAUAGUGGUUAUGGGGUUGGCUUGAAACCAGUCUUGGGGGGUUCGAAUCCUUCCUUUCUUA
rnacentral:tRNA from 1 species